ensembl:lncRNA
UCUCUCUCUCUCAGCAGCCACAGGCCACACGCCUGAAAAGAGGUGAAGAAAGAUUGGAGUAACAUUAGACCUGUCGCUGCAAGCAACGUUCUGUCAGUGUGAGUUUACUGAGCUGACUGAAAUGGAGUAUCCCCUGGUCACGACAGAGAGAGGAUGGAGGGAGAGGAGGGAGAAACAGUAAAAGGAGAGAGGCCUCCAGUGCUCCAGGAACGCUUGGGGUUGGAAGAAGAAAAAAUAAAGAGAGACAAGAGAGACAGAAGAAACAAAGGGAAAAGAAAAGCAGGAGAAAAUCACAACGGCGUUCCAUUCCAGCGCCGGGAACGGCGUCGAUGAUUUGCUGAGGGGGAUGAAGGGAGUAGAGAGAAAGGAGGGCGUGAGAUGAGAGAACAAUAAGCCUGUUGUUCUUUAAUCGGUGGUGAAUCAUCUGUCUCUCCCUCUGUCAGGUGUUGCUGAGAAGAGAGAGAAAUAAAGAGAGAGAGAGAUUGAAAGAUCAAGCUGUGUGGCUCAUAAUAUCACACACUAACCAGCUAGCACAUUCUGAGAACCAUAUGUUUGUUACAGCUUGUUGAGAGCAUGGUAGUCCUAUAGUUAUUUUGCAUCCAACCUUCCCACAAUGUUCUGGGAAUGGUGCAGGAUAGUUCCUUGGCUUUGGAACAUUUAAGGAACAUUUAAGGAAAGUGAAAAGAACACUUUAUUUUCUUGGUAAUUCAUUACUUUAAAAAAAAUGUUUCCUAAAAUUUGAACAUGAUUACAUUUAUUUUAAAUGUUGUAAUGGCUUGGAACAUUCUUCAACUGGUUUGACAUUGGGAAUGUUCUCAAAUAGUUCAGAGAAACAACGUUCUUCUGUGGGAAUUUCAGUACCUCAGCAUAACGCUUCCUACUGGUUUGCUCAAGGUUGUAUUUACAGUCAUGUUAUAAAAUUGUUCCCAAAACAGUUAAGAAACAAUGUUCUUCUGUAGGAAUUUCAGUACUUCGGCAAAACGUUAUAUACAGGUUUCCUCAUGGUUUUAUUCAAAGUCAUGUUAUUCAAUUGUUAUGGGAAAGUUAAUUCUUCUUCUGUG